GAUGAACGCUGGCGGCGUGCCUAAUACAUGCAAGUCGAGCGAACAGACGAGGAGCUUGCUCCUCUGACGUUAGCGGCGGACGGGUGAGUAACACGUGGAUAACCUACCUAUAAGACUGGGAUAACUUCGGGAAACCGGAGCUAAUACCGGAUAAUAUAUUGAACCGCAUGGUUCAAUAGUGAAAGACGGUUUUGCUGUCACUUAUAGAUGGAUCCGCGCCGCAUUAGCUAGUUGGUAAGGUAACGGCUUACCAAGGCAACGAUGCGUAACCGACCUGAGAGGGGGAUCGGCCACACUAGAACUGAGACACGGUCCAGACUCCUACGGGAGGCAACAGUAGGGAAUCUUCCGCAAUGGGCGAAAGCCUGACGGAGCAACGCCGCGUGAGUGAUGAAGGUCUUCGGAUCGUAAAACUCUGUUAUUAGGGAAGAACAAAUGUGUAAGUAACUAUGCACGUCUUGACGGUACCUAAUCAGAAAGCCACGGCUAACUACGUG
rnacentral:rRNA from 1 species